CCUACGGGUGGCAGCAGUGGGGGAUAUUGGGCAAUGGGCGCAAGCCUGACCCAGCAACGCCGCGUGAAGGAAGAAGGCUUUCGGGUUGUAAACUUCUUUUGUCAGGGACGAAGCAAGUGACGGUACCUGACGAAUAAGCCACGGCUAACUACGUGCCAGCAGCCGCGGUAAUACGUAGGUGGCAAGCGUGAUCCGGAUUUAUUGGGUGUAAAGGGCGUGUAGGCGGGAAUGCACGUCAGAUGUGAAAACUAUGGGCUCAACCCAUAGCCUGCAUUUGAAACUGUAUUGCUUGAGUGCUGGAGAGGCAAUCGGAAGUCCGUGUGUAGCGGUGAAAUGCGUAGAUAUAAGGAGGAACACCAGUGGCGAAGGCGGAUUGCUGGACAGUAACUGACGCUGAGGCGCGAAAGCGUGGGGAGCAAACAGGAUUAGAUACCCCAGUAGUC
rnacentral:rRNA from 1 species